UACGAAGGGGGGCUAGCGUUGCUCGGAAUCACUGGGCGUAAAGCGCACGUAGGCGGCUCUUUAAGUCAGAGGUGAAAUCCUGGGGCUCAACCCCAGAACUGCCUUUGAUACUGAGGAGCUUGAGUCCGGGAGAGGUGAGUGGAACUGCGAGUGUAGAGGUGAAAUUCGUAGAUAUUCGCAAGAACACCAGUGGCGAAGGCGGCUCACUGGCCCGGUACUGACGCUGAGGUGCGAAAGCGUGGGGAGCAAACAGG
rnacentral:rRNA from 1 species